AGGCAAACAAGCGCGUCCUCGAUACCAUCAAGGAGUUGGGCCGGCUCACUUAUGGCGUCAUGGUCUAAUUACCGGGAUAGUUUCACAAAGUAGACGAUCUCAGAUAGGCAUUGUUGGAGCGCCGUUGUUCCGUGCUCGCCUACAAGCGCGCUCUCGUCUUACGGAACAUACGGCCAUUCCUGCUUGAUCGCCGUGUCCAAGUGUCCGAGUCGGCUUGUAAAGAGUCAGUGUUGCAACUUGGUGACUUGCUGUGCUGUAACAAACACUAUAUUAGUAUUUUAUUGUGUUUUGCAGGUUGCUUGAGAAUAAUAGUCCGAGUGGUUCUGUUCCAUACAUCAUUUGGCAAAUCAUGAAUUUUAUGGCAAUAAAAGUCUGAUCUUGUUAAACCUUAUUGAAGGUUUAUUUGAAGCUUUUACCUUGACUCAAAAAGUUUUGGAAUCAAUUCUAUGUGAACCACUUUGACAAGAUGUUAUGUAUGCAUUCAUAUUUGAAGCUUAGAGACAAUAAGACAAUUAUAGGUUAGAAGAUCCUGUGUGUUAGUUUCAUUCAUUUUGCUAGGAGUCACUGCUCAUAUCUUAUACUUUUUUUCUCCAAUGAUCGAGUGGGUCUUCUUCAUGGAUUUAGAUGCUGUUCUCAUACCAAUUUUGAUAAUCUAUCAGAUUGUUAUCAGCCAAUACCACCCGAUGUUAUUGAAAAAAAUGAUUUAUCCACGGCAGUAAAAACUAUAUGCUUCAUCAUUGUUACUUAGAUGGAGAGGUAAAUAUUGUGUAGGUAUGUAUUGGUUCAAACAAUAUUUUAAGUAAUGAUCUUGGUUCCUAAUGGUUGUAGGAAUCACCUGAUGUAAUAGUCAAGCCUUUUGGAGGUCACAAGGUAAUUUUCUUUAUAGUAUGUAUACCCAUGAAGUGCAACUAGCACUGAACCAAAAUCUAUUGACAUCGUCCAAUAAACAUACGAUGUAAUAUAAAUGUUUAGAACAUGAAUUUUAACACUAGCUUUUGUUACUGUGGGUGUUCAAUGCUGAAAUAUCAAAGAAAAUGACAAUAUGUUUACAUAUUCAAUAAUUCUAUUGGAAGCUGAUAUUGGGAGUUGCUAAUCCUACAUUGUAACAUAUAAAUUCAUCAAAUGUGCACACAGCUUUUUUGUCUCUAGCUGAUAUUGUUGUCUU